CCUACGGGUGGCAGCAGUGAGGAAUAUUGGUCAAUGGGCGAGAGCCUGAACCAGCCAAGUCGCGUGAGGGAAGACGGUCCUAUGGAUUGUAAACCUCUUUGGCCGGGGAGCCAAAGGCGGUACGUGUACCGCAUCGAGAGUACCCGGAGAAAAAGCAUCGGCUAACUCCGUGCCAGCAGCCGCGGUAAUACGGAGGAAGCGAGCUUUAUCCGGAUGUCUUGGGGUUAAAGGGUGCGCAGGCGGAGUGUUACGUCAGCGGUAAAAUUUCGGGGCUAAACCUCGACAAGCCGUUGAAACUGGCUUGCUAGAGGUGGCGAGAAGUAUGCGGAAUGCGUGGUGUAGCGGUGAAAUGCAUAGAUAUCACGCAGAACUCCGAUUGCGAAGGCAGCAUACCGGCGCCCAACUGACGCUCAGGCACGAAAGCGUGGGUAUCGAACAGGAUUAGAUACCCUUGUAGUC
rnacentral:rRNA from 1 species